GGGUGGGUGGCUCAGUGGUUAGAGCCUAGGGCUCGUAACCGAAAGGGUUCGAACUCGGAGUUCGAACCUCGCAAGGGGCA
rnacentral:tRNA from 1 species